GGGCUCUCCAGGAUGCGUCGGCCCGGAGACCCGAGCCCACCGGUGCUGGCGCCUCGCCGGCUCCGUUACGAGAAUUUUUACAGAUGUUUGAUCUCUUACUGGAUUACCAACUCCUGGAAGAUAGGUUGUUUCCUGCUCAGCCUUGUAUUCCUCACUGCCAAACCCAGAAACUUGUACAAAAGAAGCAGUGUGCUGUGUUAAAGGUGGAAUAAACAGGGAUAGCAAAUCAAAAAGUCCAUCUGCUUCUCUCCUUAGUUACAUAAUAGCAGAUCAGUUGUUUUAGUUCCCCUGUCUUCGGAUCUCACGAUCUCACCUCUCAUACGGUCUGGGAAUGUAGCUCGGUAACACCCUACUUACUGUUCUUGUCUCGUGUGUGAAGCCUCAGACUACAAAAGCCAAACAAGUCCCAUGGAAAUGGGGUAGUAGGUGCUACCGCUGCUAACUAAAGUAAACACGUUUCAGUGGAUUGUGUCCUUACCACAUAGACAGUGGUGUUCUGUGCCCUCAGAGUGGCUUCAGUACUCCAAAGUCAAUUACGUCUUUCAGGUGACACUCAUAGUAUCUAUUCUGUGACAAGCUGUGAACACAUGUUAGUAACUCAAUAAAUUACAGAUGUGAGUGGGCGCGAUCAGUGAAGAAAAUGUAAUUUCCUACAAUUGUUCAUCUAUAAAAAGCAGGUAUUAACA
rnacentral:lncRNA from 1 species